rnacentral:pre_miRNA from 1 species
CAGGGCAGGUUUUUUUCUCAGCUACAUCGGUGUAAAUCCAGAGCAAAUCCACUGAGAUUCACACCAGAGUAACUGAGAGCAGAAUCUGGCCAA